GGGUUGUGAGGUUAAGCGACUAAGCGUACACGGUGGAUGCCCUGGCAGUCAGAGGCGAUGAAGGACGUGCUAAUCUGCGAAAAGCGUCGGUAAGGUGAUAUGAACCGUUACAGCCGGCGAUGUCCGAAUGGGGAAACCCAGUGCAAUUCGUUGCACUAUCGUUAACUGAAUACAUAGGUUAACGAGGCGAACCGGGGGAACUGAAACAUCUAAGUACCCCGAGGAAAAGAAAUCAACCGAGAUUCCCCCAGUAGCGGCGAGCGAACGGGGAGCAGCCCAGAGUCUGAAUCAGCUUGUGUGUUAGUGGAACGGUCUGGAAAGUCCGACGGUACAGGGUGAUAGUCCCGUACACCAAAAAUGCACAGGCUGUGAACUCGAAGAGUAGGGC
rnacentral:rRNA from 1 species